UACGUAGGGGGCAAGCGUUGUCCGGAAUCAUUGGGCGUAAAGGGUGCGUAGGCGGCGGGGCAAGUCUGAUGUGAAAUCCCGGGGCUCAACCCCGGAACUGCAUUGGAUACUGCCUUGCUAGAGUACUGGAGAGGGAACUGGAAUUUACGGUGUAGCAGUGAAAUGCGUAGAGAUCGUAAGGAAGGCCAGUGGCGAAGGCGAGUUCCUGGACAGUUACUGACGCUGAGGCACGAAGGCCAGGGGAGCAAACGGG
rnacentral:rRNA from 1 species